CCUACGGGAGGCAGCAGUGGGGAAUAUUGGACAAUGGGCGAAAGCCUGAUCCAGCCAUGCCGCGUGUGUGAAGAAGGCCUUCGGGUUGUAAAGCACUUUCAGUGGGGAAGAAAGCCUUGGGGCUAAUACCCUCGAGGAAGGACAUCACCCACAGAAGAAGCACCGGCUAACUCCGUGCCAGCAGCCGCGGUAAUACGGAGGGUGCGAGCGUUAAUCGGAAUUACUGGGCGUAAAGCGCGCGUAGGCGGUCUGAUAAGCCGGUUGUGAAAGCCCCGGGCUCAACCUGGGAACGGCAUCCGGAACUAUCAGGCUAGAGUGCAGGAGAGGAAGGUAGAAUUCCCGGUGUAGCGGUGAAAUGCGUAGAGAUCGGGAGGAAUACCAGUGGCGAAGGCGGCCUUCUGGACUGACACUGACGCUGAGGUGCGAAAGCGUGGGUAGCAAACAGGAUUAGAUACCCGUGUAGUC
rnacentral:rRNA from 1 species